CCGGGACAGGACGGUUCCUGAGGGGAUCGGAGACCAGGGGUCUGCAGAUGGCCCCCAGGAGGAGCCACUGGCCUCUGUGUUCGGCCUAAAACCUGAAAUGGGAACAGCAUAGACGUGAUCCCAGGCCCACCCUUAUCCCUCGCCCAGGGCCCUUCCCAGUUACCCAGCCCAAGUUGGGAGGCAGAAGAUCCAUGUCAUAGAUGGGCUGUGGCCUCAGGACCACCCAGCAGGCUGGAGCCCCUAUUUGGCAAGGGACCCCAGGAGCUGGGACCUGCAGGUGUGGGCAACUCAGGCCACCUUCCCAGGCGUGCUGAGCAAAUACCUAUUCAUGAUUCCUCACCUCUGCACAGUGCUUUACAGUUUAUGUUUCUUCAUCCACAGAGUACCUGAUUUUCAUAACAACCCUGUGAGGCUCUCUGUCCCGCCGAUGGUGGACCACAGCCCCUGCACCAUUGGCCAUGGGGGAGCCAUCGCCCCGCCAGGACCUCACCUCCUGCAGAAGGCACAGAAAGAGUUAGGAGCAUGAGCAGCCCAGGCUGGAAUCUGGGGACCUGUGCACCCGAGGCUGGAGUCGAGAGAGUGCAGGGUGGGAGGCAGCUGAGAGUCAGCAGGGUGGGCGUGGCCUUCUCCCUGCCUGCAUCUGAAAUGCAGUUUGAAGAUCAGGAAGACGAUCUUUCGCUUCUGAAUCCUCUGAGAGUUCCUCAGGCCCUCCUGUGUUUGGCCCAGCUGCUUCCUGCCUGGUCUUCCUGGAUCCACAGAGGGCCAGCUGCAGCUGCAAUUCCUCUUCCCCUGAUGUCUGAGGCCGGGCCUGCUCCAGGUCGGAGGUAUAGCGGGGUGAC